AAAGUUUGAUCCUGGCUCASAAUGAACGCUGGCGGCGUGCCUAACAYAUGCAAGUCGGAUGURCCCGCAAGGGUGCAUGGCAGACGGGUGAGUAACGCGUGGGGAACCUACCUCUUUGUGGGGAAUAACGUUCCGAAAGGAAUGGUAAUACCGCAUAARACCUUCAGCUGGGAUGUUGGAGGUGAAAGCUGGGGAUCGAAAGACCUASCGCGAGGARAGGGUCCUACGUCUGAUUAKCUAGUUGGCGGGGUAACGGCCCACCAAGGCAUCGAUCAGUAGCCGGCCUGAGAGGGUGAUCGGCCACACUGGAACUGASACACGGUCCAGACKSSURSGGGAGGCAGCCRUGGGGAAU
rnacentral:rRNA from 1 species